CGCUCCGGAGAAGCUCUCAUCGGGUGCCGAAGGUGCAAGGCGUGUUUUUUUACGCUUAAUCUCUCAGGCAAAAGGACGGAGUU
rnacentral:ncRNA from 1 species